GACGAACGCUGGCGGCGUGCUUAACACAUGCAAGUCGAACGGAACUCUUUGGAUCAAGGCUUCGGCCAAGUGAAUUUGAGUUUAGUGGCGGACGGGUGAGUAACGCGUGAGGAACCUGCCUUUCAGAGGGGGACAACAGUUGGAAACGACUGCUAAUACCGCAUGAUGUAUCUCUGGGACAUCCCUAAGAUACCAAAGGAGCAAUCCGCUGAAGGAUGGCCUCGCGUCCGAUUAGCUAGUUGGUAGGGUAACGGCCUACCAAGGCGGCGAUCAGUAGCCGGUCUGAGAGGAUGAACGGCCACAUUGGGACUGAGAUACGGCCCAGACUCCUACGGGAGGCAGCAGUGGGGAAUAUUGGGCAAUGGGGGAAACCCUGACCCAGCAACGCCGCGUGAAGGAAGAAGGCCUUCGGGUUGUAACUUCUUUACCUAGGGACGAAGAACGUAGACGGUACCU
rnacentral:rRNA from 1 species